UAAUCAUCAAGCUUGGGAUGGUUUUCCGUCUUAAGCUUGGUAUUGGGCUCUGCUGUGCCUUUCGUUGGAACAGCUGGCCUUAAAAGCAUUAGCCGAUCCUCAUGUAGUAUUGGGUCUGCUCAGCGUGAUAAUGAUCUUGACCGCUGGGAACACCUUUCUAGGUGGCCAAUUCUCUCAUCUGGGUUGCUUCUAAUUUGGCUUUGACAGGUUCUGAAUCUGUUUUGCCCUUUUG
rnacentral:misc_RNA from 1 species